UCACCAAAACGCCGUUACAGUUCUCCUUUCAUUUCCAAAUCUCCGACCGUUCCCGUCCCGCCACAUAACCGCACCACCGCCGAGCCUCGUCGGCUCAUCCCCUCACUCUAAUUUAAUCUCACCCGCAGAAAAAUCACAGCUUCCGUGCUACCGUCAUUUGUAGUUCCGAUUGCACCAUGGAGGCGGAGAAAGCCACAGACGUGUCAGACAUUUAGAACGAGGACGACCUCGACGAGUAGCCCGACGAGGUGAUCGAAUCAGCGCCACCUCUCAAAGUCGGCGAAGAGAGAGAGCUCGGUAGCUCUGGCCUCAAGAAGAAGCUUCUCAAGCGCGGCCAUGGCUACGAAACCCCCGAGCUCGGUGAGGGUGGAGUGGUGAAGGGUUUGGACCAUGGCGUGGUCUCUACGAAGAAGGGAGAGUUUGUAUUGUUCACAUUGCCUGCUGAGCUGGGCUAUGGUGUUGUUUGUGGGGGUGGCUCUGUUGUGCCGUCCAAUGCUGUUGAGCAAAGAUGGUGGGAUUGUGAAGAAGAUUAUCGAGAAAGGAGAAAGGAAUGAGCAGGCUGGUGAUUUGGAUGAAGUUCUUGUCAAGUAUCGGGUGGCGUUGUUGCAGAGACACCAGAAGAAGGAAUUGAAUUCUAUGUGAAAGAUGGCCAUUUUUGUUCAGCAUUGCCAAAAGCAAUCAAGACAAUGAAAAGGGCAGAUUAAUUGUUCAACCU